UCCCUAAAUAGCCUCAGGUGCGUGAGGAUUGGGGUGACAGACAAGUUACCUCCGGGACAACUGGCUUGUGGCUGCUAAGAGAUCAAAUCAACGCAGCUUUUUGAUUCUUCGAUGUCGGCUCUUCCUAUCCUAGUGAUGUACAAGUUGCUAAGGGUCGGAUUGUUCACCCGUAUUAGGGAUCGUGAGCUGGGUUUAGACCGUCGUGAGCCAGGUUUGUUUUAUCCUACUGGAUAUAGCAUCAUGAUAGUAGAUUGAUUUAGUACGAGAGGAACUGUUGAUUAUGGCCUCUGGUUAGCGAUUAUCGGAAACGGUAUGUCGCGCAGCUACGCCGUCUGGGAUAAUGGCUGAAAGCCUCUUAAGCCAGAAGCCCAUCUAGAAAGUGAUGCACGUGAUGUUGGACCGAUACGAAUAAUCAUACUCAAAAGGUCCGCUUCAUAGGUAACCCAAUGUAGAAGACAUUGUGUGAACGAAGGUACUGUAAGCAGUGGAGUGGCAUUACGUCCACGACCUGUUGAGGUUCAGCUUCGCUUCUAGGUUUCC
rnacentral:ncRNA from 1 species